rnacentral:tRNA from 1 species
CAAGGAGUAGUUUAAGUAGAAUAUCAGCUUUGGGUGUUGAUGGUGGGGUUGUAGCCCUCUCCUUGA